rnacentral:tRNA from 1 species
UCCCUGGUGGCUCAGAGGUUAAAGCGUCUGCCUCCAAUGUGGGAAACCCAGGUUCGAUCCCUGGGUUGGGAA